UGACCUCGGAUCAGGUAGGGAUACCGCUGAACUUAA
rnacentral:rRNA from 1 species